CCUACGGGUGGCUGCAGUGGGGAAUAUUGCGCAAUGGGCGAAAGCCUGACGCAGCGACGCCGCGUGAGGGAUGAAGGUCUUCGGAUCGUAAACCUCUGUCAGCAGGGAAGAACGGUCACUGUGCUAAUCAGCAGUGAAUUGACGGUACCUGCAAAGGAAGCACCGGCUAAACCCGUGCCAGCAGCCGCGGUAAUACGGAGGAUGCGAGCGUUAAUUGGAAUUACUGGGCGUAAAGCGCUCGUAGGCGGUAUGUCAAGUCAAGGGUGAAAUCCCCGCGCUCAACGUGGGAACUGCCGUUGAAACUGGCAAACUGGAGUGUGUGAGAGGAUAGUGGAAUUCCAGGUGUAGGAGUGAAAUGCGUAGAGAUCUGGAGGAACAGCAGUGGCGAAGGCGACUAUCUGGCACAUAACUGACGCUGAGGAGCGAAAGCGUGGGUAGCAAACAGGAUUAGAUACCCCAGUAGUC
rnacentral:rRNA from 1 species